AAUUGGCUUAGUUAGGAGGCCUAAAUCAAUCUGAUGAUCUUUCAAUAUGUCGAUACUUCUCUGUAUUGGUUUGAUCUUAAUGACUUGAGGUCUUUUGAGGAGGAGCUCUGCCUUUUUUUUUUGCUGCUUCUCCCAAGCAGCCUCAGACAUUA
rnacentral:snoRNA from 1 species